GAUAUGCCAACAGAAGGAAACUUUUGCAGCAUUCUCUUCCUGGGGGGAUAUUGGAAUUUCCAUACAUGAAGACCCAGAGGAAAGUUUUCCCAGAAAACAACAAAAAAAGUCUAUACAAAGCGAGCUAUCUUAUGGGGAACAAUGGAGCAAAAUGAAAAUUUAGGCCUAUUGAAGAUCAUUCCAGGGUAGCUACCUCACCUUCCACCUUAUAAACUGCUUUUCUUUCUCAGGUGCUGCUCUGCUCUCAAAAACAAACAAACAAAAAAAGAAACCAAACCUUGACCACACAGCCCUUUGCCACUGCUGCCAUCCAGUGGUCAUAAGUAGGAACGCAGGACAGUUAAGUCCUCAAGUGGUUUAGUGUUCCCUGAAGUACAGGUAGAUCAGACUUAUGGUAAGGAGGCAACUGGUUACGUAAUGUGAUUUUAGGGGUGGAAAUUAUCUGAUGUAUGUUUUGGAGGAAUUCUGGACACUGCCUCAAAUAUCAUCGUCUUUGGGAAGGCUAAUCCUACAUUAAUGCCAUCUUAACAUAUCGUUAAAUGCUUACAGUGGCUAUAAAGAGUCAGUUCCUUAAUGGUAGGGCAAUGGAGUAGAACCAACAUAUACCAUCAACUUCAGGAAACAACAAUGAUGGUUCCAUAUGGUACAGAAGACUGUGUUGAUUCGCUGGGUGCAGGACAUCACUGCAUGGUAAAGAUUCUAUCAUAAUUGCUAAGUUACAGUAAUUUCACCAUUACUUGAGGUAACAAAAGCUUCUAUCCAGUUUCUCUUGACACAUCCCAUGACAAAAACUCUCCAAUCCAUAGGCACAUAUUGACUACCUAAUUUUCUUUGUCUUAGUUCUGAGAUUCCUGAAAAUCCUUGAGCAGUGUUCUUAGAAAUCUUAUUCUGUAUUUUUUUUUAUUACAAAAUCUCAGGCAGAUUAUGAUAUGUGCCAAUUUUUAAUGUUUUAACAAAAUAACAGCAAUUAUAAUAGCAAUUAUAAUUCCCCCAUUGAUUAUUAAAAUUGCUUUACAAGGUUUUAGCUUGAAUAUUUUGACUGCAA
rnacentral:lncRNA from 1 species